rnacentral:rRNA from 1 species
UACGGGGGAUGCGAGCGUUGUCCGGAAUCACUGGGCGUAAAGGGCGCGUAGGUGGCUUGGCAAGCGCGUGGUGAAAGCCCGGGGCUCAACCCCGGGUCUGCCGUGCGAACUGCUAUGGCUUGAGCACUGUAGAGGCAGGUAGAAUUCCGGGUGUAGCGGUGGAAUGCGUAGAGAUCCGGAAGAAUACCGGUGGCGAAGGCGGCCUGCUGGGCAGUGGCUGACACUGAGGCGCGACAGCGUGGGGAGCAAACAGG